rnacentral:rRNA from 1 species
GAUGAACGCUGGCGGCGUGCCUAAUACAUGCAAGUCGAGCGAACAGACAAUGAGCUUGCUCUUCUAACGGUAGCGGCUGACGGGUGAGUAACACGUGGAUAACCUACUUAUUAGACUUGGGUAAUUUCGGGAAACCGCUGCUGCUACUGGCUAAUAUAUUGAACCGCAUAGUUCAAUAGUGCAACACGGCUUUGCUGUCACUUAUAGAUGGUUCCGCGCCGCAUUAGCUAGUUGGUAAGGUAACGGCUUACCAAGGCAACGAUGCGUAGCCGACCUGAGAGGAUGAUCGGCCACACUGGAACUGAGACACGGUCCAGACUCCUACGGGAGGCAGCAGUAGGGAAUCUUCGGCAAUGGGCGAAAGCUUGACGGAGCAACGCCGCGUGAGUGAUGAAGGUCUUCGGAUCGUAAAACUCUGUUAUUAGGGAAGAAAAGAAGUGGAAGUAACUAUGCACGUCUUGACGGUACCUAAACAGAAAGCAACGGCUAACUACGUG